AUGUUCCUACCAAGCUUUCCCAGAAACCCAGCACACAAUCCCAUCACCCCUUCAACAUCUACACAAUUCUCAGCGCAAGAGAGACUACAAAAGGCCAAGAUCCAUGGAGUCAGCAGAGGGGGAGACAGAAAAACAAGGUUUCCACUGAGGAGAGAGAGGCCACGGCGAUUACCUUGAGCGAUCCUU
rnacentral:lncRNA from 1 species